rnacentral:rRNA from 1 species
UGGGGAAUAUUGCACAAUGGGGGAAACCCUGAUGCAGCGACGCCGCGUGAGCGAAGAAGGCCUUCGGGUCGUAAAGCUCUUUUAUGAGGGAAGAUAAUGACGGUACCUCAAGAAAAAGCCCCGGCUAACUACGUGCCAGCAGCCGCGGUAAUACGUAGGGGGCAAGCGUUGUCCGGAAUCACUGGGCGUAAAGGGUUCGCAGGCGGAAAUGCAAGUCAGUUGUGAAAGGCAGAGGCUCAACCUCUGUAAGCAAUUGAAACUGUAUUUCUUGAGAUGUGGAGAGGCAAGUGGAAUUCCUAGUGUAGCGGUGAAAUGCGUAGAUAUUAGGAAGAAUACCGGUGGCGAAGGCGACUUGCUGGACACAAACUGACGCUGAGGAACGAAAGCGUGGGUAGCAAACAGG